rnacentral:rRNA from 1 species
GACGAACGCUGGCGGCGUGCUUAACACAUGCAAGUCGAGCGGUAAGGCCCUUUCGGGGGUACACGAGCGGCGAACGGGUGAGUAACACGUGGGUGACCUGCCUUCAGCUCUGGGAUAAGCCUGGGAAACUGGGUCUAAUACCGGAUAUGACUCCAUGAUGCAUGUUGUGGGGUGGAAAGCUUUUGCGGCUGGAGAUGGGCCCGCGGCCUAUCAGCUUGUUGGUGGGGUGAUGGCCUACCAAGGCGACGACGGGUAGCCGGCCUGAGAGGGCGACCGGCCACACUGGGACUGAGACACGGCCCAGACUCCUACGGGAGGCAGCAGUGGGGAAUCUUGCGCAAUGGGCGAAAGCCUGACGCAGCGACGCCGCGUGAGGGAUGACGGCCU